AUUAGGUAUUCUCAUCUUGGUCCCCAAGAACGGAUCAUCGAAAGCUCCUCCGUGAUAUUUGAUUGAAGAAAAUCACUCAUCGGACUGUCUUCUUGUUUUCCCACAUGGCUUUAUUUCUCCAGAUUAUUCUUUUGCCUUACCCUUAUUUCUUUUACCGAUAAAUUUGAUUUGACGUGGACUGGAUACUGGACUCUCACUCUUCCAGUUCCUCAC